CGCUGGAAAAGAAACUCUGAAGAUAUUUGUGAAACCUGACAGUCUGAACACACACCAAACAAACAAACAGACAGACAGUUAAAAAGGUGGAGAGGAAACAAAAACUUCUGUCAACAAACAGACAAGCAGACUGUCAAAGCAACAAGUGCAGUUGGACAUCAAUGGACAUCAAUGGACAUCUCUAUGAAAGAAAGGGGAAUUGACAUCAACAACAAAUGACAUGGAUCACAUGGCAGCUUGGGCUGAAGUUGACGACAGAGACAGAAACAAGAUGAGACCUGUUCUCGAAAGACUGCUGAAUGAAGGACCUGGAGGAGACGAGAACUGGAGCGGAAGGAACAAACAUUUGAUGAGGGCAGAGUUUCCAGACCUGACCUGAAGAAGAAGAAGACGACGAC